rnacentral:rRNA from 1 species
CCUGGCUCAGGAUGAACGCUAGCGGCAGGCCUAAUACAUGCAAGUCGAGGGAGAUUGUUGGAUUCGUCUGACAUGAAACCGGCGCACGGGUGCGUAACACGUAUGCAACCUACCUUUAACUGGGGUAUAGCUCAGAGAAAUCUGAAUUAAUCCCCCAUAAGACUACGACAUGGCAUCAUGAUGUAGUUAAAGCUCCGGCGGUUAAGGAUGGGCAUGCGGUACAUUAGCUAGUUGGUGAGGUAAUGGCUCACCAAGGCUACGAUGUAUAGGGGGUCUGAGAGGAUGAUCCCCCACACUGGUACUGAGACACGGACCAGACUCCUACGGGAGGCAGCAGUAGGGAAUAUUGGUCAAUGGACGCAAGUCUGAACCAGCCAUGCCGCGUGAAGGAUGAAGGCCCUCUGGGUCGUAAACUUCUUUUAUUAGGGAAGAAAACAUGGGAUGCGUCCCAAACUGACGGUACUUAAUGAAUAAGGAUCGGCUAACUUCGUG